ACGGCAAUAUCAAUUUUUUAAAAACUAGUUCUCGUACGAUCAACGGAGUUAAGCAAGACUGUGUCUGGGCAGUACCUAGAUGGGUGACCGCUUAUGAAUAUCAAAUGCUGUCU